GACGAACGCUGGCGGCGUGCUUAACACAUGCAAGUCGAACGAGACGGAUUGGGAGCUUGCUCCUGACAAGUCGAGUGGCAAACGGGUGAGUAACGCGUAGACAACCUGCCGCAAAGAUGGGGACAACAGCCCGAAAGGGCUGCUAAUACCGAAUGUUGCGCCCCUCCCGCAUGGGAGGGGCGCCAAAGAUGGCCUCUGCCUGCAAGCCAUCGCUUUGCGAUGGGUCUGCGCCUGAUUAGCCAGUUGGCGGGGCAACGGCCCACCAAGGCGACGAUCAGUAGCCGGUCGGAGAGGAUGGACGGCCACAUUGGGACUGAGACACGGCCCAGACUCCUACGGGAGGCAGCAGUGGGGAAUUUUCCGCAAUGGGCGA
rnacentral:rRNA from 1 species